UGGGCUAGUUGCUUACUGGAAUCUUACAGCAUUCCUUCAUCCAACAAAAAAAUUUAAAGCCGAGUUUACUGGUUUCCUGUGUUAGCUUUACCUCUGAGGGUCUGGAGGAUUUGAUCAUAGACUUUCUGCUGUGUGUCUGUGCUGAGCGUUGAGAUAGUCAUGUUCAGGUUCAGUACACUGAAACCAAAAAAUGCAAAGGUUUUUCUUCAGUCAAAUUGCUUAAAUCCGUCCAUAGUUUGUUGCUUGAAGCUUUAUGCUCACCCCUGCUUCUCAAUAUUGCAGCUCCUUCCUGCCAGUAUUCCAAAGUAAGAUGCAACUUGUCCUGGUGAAAGUUGUACCAGCAGAGGUGGCAGCCGGGAGGUAAGCCACACAUAUACCUCUGCAUCACUCACCGAAGGAAGGGAGAGGUUUGCACGAUCAAACACAACUUGCAACAUGGCUGACCUCACGACUGAAGGGAACGCGUCUUCAUGAGCCUGCAGAAAAAAACAAAAGUGGAUGCACAUCCUGUUACUGUACCUGUUGGAGGCCUGGCUGAUGGUUAUGUGACAGCUGUACUGGAUAGGAGGGUGGGUACCCAGGGGUUGUCCAGUUGGGACCCCAUCCAGGGCCAUCAGUGGGUGAUGGGCCAGAUUCCCCUGUUAGCAGACUGUGGAAGACCAGAGCUAAUGUGCCAUUGUCUAAACUGGCAACAUAAGGGCUCAUGAGCAGCUCGGCCUUUUGUGCUGGAGACAACAAGUUAAGAACCUCCAGCUGUGAAUGAAGAAAAAAAAGCAGUAAGAGAAGAAGAACAGGAAGAAGUGUGGAGAAGUGAUAUUUGUUGUGGUGGAGUUCUCUGUAGUGUCCAGAUCACCAUAAAAACAGCCGUAUAAAAUUCAUAAAAUCUUAAAUAAGGCUCAGUUUAACUCACUCCAUUGAAGACCACAUUGAGCUCUGAAAAGUCCUUCAAGCGGGCCAUGACACUGAAGGCCCCGAAGUUCUUCAUCAGCCACUCCGCACUGCUCUCAUCUGGCCUCACACAGCCUGCACAGAGAUCACACAUUGACCGACUGUGUACAUACUAGCAGUUAGCGCCAAACUGAAGCUUUAAUUGUGAAUUAAUGAAUUUCAGUCUGUCUGCAGACAAAUGCAGAUUGUCAAAAAUAAACAUGAACACUUGACUGGUUCUGAUGCUUUAUUGUCUAACAUGCGAACAUUGUUUCUUCUUUUAAAUUUGAUUUUAUCCAUUUUUAAAGCCCUAAUUAACUUAAUUAUAGAACAAAUCCCAUUAUUAGUCCUACCUGCACUUUGACCCUGUCCUCUGUUGUUUAACUUCUGGACAAUGAUUUUCCUCUUUAUCACAGAAGAAUGCAAUCCCCACCCCAUUCCCUGCUGCGUGUUCCCUGUCUGGGUAUUUUUGUGUGUGUGUGACUGCUCCAAAUCUAGUGAGUUUGGUGCCUCCUUUUUUUUGUUAAAGCCUUUAAACACUUUAAAAGCUAUUUCUAUUUGUCUUUUCUGUCUACAAAUGUUGUAUAAUACCUCAUAACCCAGCAAAUAAA
rnacentral:lncRNA from 1 species